GAUGAACGCUGGCGGCGUGCCUAAUACAUGCAAGUCGAGCGAACAGACGAGGAGCUUGCUCCUCUGACGUUAGCGGCGGACGGGUGAGUAACACGUUGAUAACCUACCUAUAAUACUGGGAUAACUUCGGGAAACCGGAGCUAAUACCGGAUAAUAUAUUGAACCGCAUGGUUCAAUAGUGAAAGACGGUUUUGCUGUCACUUAUAGAUGUAUCCGCGCCGCAUUAGCUAGUUGGUAAGGUAACGGCUUACCAAGGCAACGAUGCGUAGCCGACCUGAGAGGGUGAUCGGCCACACUGGAACUGAGACACGGACCAGACUCCUACGGGAGGCAGCAGUAGGGAAGCUUCCGCAAAGGGCGAAAGCCUGACGGAGCAACGCCGCGUGAGUGAGGAAGGGCUUCGGAUCGUAAAACUCUGUUAUUAGGGAAGAACAAAUGUGUAAGUAACUAUGCACGUCUUGACGGUACCUAAUCAGAAAGCCACGGCUAACUACGUG
rnacentral:rRNA from 1 species